CAGUAGGGGCAGCCGGCCGUGGCCAGCCUGGGGUAGAAAGUGACCCUGAGGGGGCCUGAGGCCCAGGGCUCCUGCACGGCCCGCCGGCCCGGCUGGUCCGGCAGUGAGAGGCAGAGCCCGGCUGUGUUUACCCAGGCCGGGCACUUCCGGAGCAGAUGGGCGCCUGUCAGCGCUGCCAGCCAGGGGCUGGGCUGACGUCUCUCACUGCCAAGUGGCAGGUGACGCGGGGCCUGGAGGGGAACAUGUGUUUGGUUUUGCUGUUUACUAGGGGAAAUCGCUCCAGGCUGAGAGCUGCCUGCACACCUGAGAGAGCACAGCCCCAGCCAGGGGUUUUGGAAGACUUUGGGACUGAGGGAAGACUUUGGACUCCCACUCAGGAUAACGGUACAAAUGCACACAACUCUUUAAGUGGUGACACCGCCUUCCAGUGCCCAUCCCCGCUCUGGUUCCAGGGAGGGCCUUCUGGGGACCAAGGAAUGCCUGCCCUGGAGCCAAAAGAGGCCCCAGAUCCUCGGCACCCUAGUGCUCGGGAGUUCAGGGGUUGCCACGCAGGUCAAGAGCUGCAGAGGAUUUCCUCAAUUCAGACCACUGUCAGAGUGUGUGUGUCAGGGUAGGGUGGGCAUGACUGGGAUGGGGCGUGUGGAGGGCCCAAGGAAAGGAAGAUGCUCUUAUGUGAUGUGAACAUGUGAUGCUCUUGCCACAAGAGCCACCACAGCAGAGACGCUGCUGAGAAGAGUCCCAGCGCCUGUGAUGGAUUGCUAAGAUGAGCUGUUAAAUGGGGGCUUCACCUGGAUCCAGAGAGGGGCCCCGAUCUGGAACGAAGCCUUGUCUCCCCUCCAGUACCGCUGGGAAUCACUUGGGAGCAGGGAGAAGGGGAAAGUCUUCUCCUCUUAUGUGUCAGGAGGAUGAGGUAGGUGGCACUGACGACUGUGGUGGUCUCAGCUGGAAGAGACCCCGAGGAUCAUCCCACCCCACCCAGGGACUGAGGAUCCAGAGGCGAGGCGAGGGCGGCUUUUCCCGAGUCCCCCACUGUCCUCUGAGCCCUUUCCCUCAGAUGUGUC